UCCGACAGACAGCGAUCGUGCGGAACCUCUGUGUGGCCCAGUGUCUCUGGUUCCCACCCUCCCAUCCGGGCCUCUCCGCUGGUUAUCUAGCCCCAAUCUGCAAGGAACGCUAUCGGCCUCCUGACGCCGAUGGCAAGUAGGGCCAGCGAUAAGGAUCCAGGUGCCGGCUCCAUCAGCAAAGCCCCCCACCUCCGCCCCCAGAGAGUUUCAUCUAUCCCUUUAAUCAUCAUUCCGUCUCUCUCUCACGCUGCCAGGACAGGUUUGCGGCGUGGAUGCGUCCUGCGUGUUUGUGCCGAGAAUGCUGUAGUUCACUUAUCUCUCCCGUCUGCUCGCCUGGGCGAAAGCGGUUGCCUGAGCUUUGGGUGUCACCCAAAUAUCUUUCUAUUCAAAUGAAGCUCGUGUUUCUUCCUCGUUGCGAAUCUGUCUUCGGUAGGGAUGGACCCACGUGAGGGAUGAGGCAGCCCAGCUACAAAGUGUCAACCACUUCACUUUAGUUGAGAUGGCAAACCUCCACGGGAUGGGGUGUGUACUUCGGUUUUUGGGUUUAACGAACAGGUGGAUGAGCCUGAAGACUUAAUGGAUUCCAGGAGAGGUUAAUGAGAUGGGGACAGGUCUACUACCUCAUGACCUGCAGUCCCUGGGAUGCGCUCCAAUGUCAUGAUGACCCUGUACCUUACGAGCAAUUAUGUACAGAUGGUGUAGGUGACGGUUUGGGUUUUAUAUGGGUUUUGCUUUGGCGUUUGAUGUCCGUUCAAAGUUCUUGGCUUGGCUUAUUGUUUUAUAUUUGUAACCAUGGUGGAUAUGUGUACUUUACAUGCUUAUUGGCUGUGCUACUGUUGUCUUACUUCAUUUUCUUUUUUUUUUGCAGCAUCCAUAGUAGUGAACAAACCAAGGCUUUCGUUCUGUAGACGCUGCACACAUGACAAUAAAUUGCUUGGAUCUUGAAUACACGCAUCUUCAGCUUCUCAAAAAAACCACGAUUCCUAGCUCAGUUACUCUUGCUGCUAAGUUAAUAGAGAAAAUAUCAGAUUGCAGGGAAACUGGAUACCGGACAUGAGGGCACUCGGUGAUGUAGCUGGGAUGUGCAGAUCUCAGUGCCAGGAUGCCUGUAUCUCUCCUGAGUCCCGAGGCUGUCGCUUGUUUUAUCACCAACGCCGGAAAAAGUCUCUUCACGCGCCGCUGUUCCAGCGACGGCCUCCAGCUUCAGUCACGGACGUUACGGCUUCCCUCUGAAGUCGUUUUCUCUGACUGUCAAGCCCUGCCUUUGGGGCUCUGUGGGUAGUCGCAGCACUGCACUGCUACUGAAUCCCGAUUCCGAAAUGCUGACAGAAAACCGCUUCCAACCGGCCGUGGACGGCCUGCAGCCUUUCCCAGAGCACGAGGCAUGGGAUCUGUUGAAUGGGGGGGGGGGAGGGGUGAGCCCAUAACUAUAGGCAAUAUCGAGAUGCCGAUUUGGCUAAUCAUGUCUUUGGACUGCAGGAGAAGGCACGUCCUACACUGACAGAACAUGCAAGCUGCACGCACCCGCGCAGCAGGAGUGGCAUUCGCUGUUCUGCUCACGUCAGUGUAGGAAACACCUUGAAACCUCAGGUUUUGUCAGGCAUAUCAGCCUCACAACAUGUUCCUUCUAAAAUAGGCAAUGCGGGAUAGAUUAGAUAUAUGUUCCCUUGUCUCCCUACUGCUUACCCAGCAUGUGUCAAAACAACAAACAUGCGUGCGUGUGUGUGUGUGUGUGUGCGUGUAUACCUAUCCUUACGGGGGCACAAUGUCCCCAUAACGUGAUAAAUAUCUGUUUUUUUCCCUUAUGGGCACUGGUUUCCUGGUCCCCAUAAGGGAAAACUAUAAAAAUCAGUGACUGCUAUGAAAAAACCCUUGUAUUUUGCUUGGUUACUUAUGGUUAUGAUUAGGGCAGGGUGGGGGUUAAGGUUGUCAUAGUUAGCGUUAGAAUUUUUCCCAUACAAGUGAAUGAGCGGACCCCAUAAGGAUAGGUAUACCCUACAUGUGCGUGUGUGUGUGUGUGCGUGCAAUUAUUAUUAUUAUUAUUAUUAUUAUUAACAUCCAUCCAUCCAUUUUCCAAACCGCUUAUCCUACUGGGUUGCGGGGGGUCCGGAGCCUAUCCUGGAAGCAACGGGCACGAGGCAGGAAACAACCCAGGAUGGGGGGCCAGCCCAUUGCAGGGCACACUCACACACCAUUCACUCACACAUGCACACCUAUGGGCAAUUUAGCAACUCCAAUUAGCCACAGCAUGUUUUUGGACUAUGGGGGGAAACCGGAGUACCCGGAGGAAACCCCACGACGACAUGGGGAGAACAUGCAAACUCCACACACAUGUGACCCAGGCGGAGAUCAUUAUUUGGCAAUUAUUACGUUAUGGGGAGCACAUUUCCCCACAACGUGAUAAAAAUCUGUAACCUUUUACAUUAUGAGAAUUUCAGUUCCCACAAGGAUAAUCUCAAUUUUAUAAAAAUCUGAGAAUGCAAUUAAAAAACUAAAAAAUGUCAAAA